rnacentral:rRNA from 1 species
AUUGAACGCUGGCGGCAGGCCUAACACAUGCAAGUCGAACGGUAACAGGAAGAAGCUUGCUUCUUUGCUGACGAGUGGCGGACGGGUGAGUAAUGUCUGGGAAACUGCCUGAUGGAGGGGGAUAACUACUGGAAACGGUAGCUAAUACCGCAUAACGUCGCAAGACCAAAGAGGGGGACCUUCGGGCCUCUUGCCAUCGGAUGUGCCCAGAUGGGAUUAGCUAGUAGGUGGGGUAACGGCUCACCUAGGCGACGAUCCCUAGCUGGUCUGAGAGGAUGACCAGCCACACUGGAACUGAGACACGGUCCAGACUCCUACGGGAGGCAGCAGUGGGGAAUAUUGCACGAUGGGCGCAAGCCUGAUGCAGCCCUGCCGCGUGUAUGAAGAAGGCCUUCGGGUUGUAAAGUACUUUCAGCGGGGAGGAAGGGAGUAAAGUUAAUACCUUUGCUCAUUGACGUUACCCGCAGAAGAAGCACCGGCUAACUCCGUG